rnacentral:rRNA from 1 species
UACGUAGGGUGCAAGCGUUGUCCGGAAUUAUUGGGCGUAAAGAGCUCGUAGGCGGUUUGUCGCGUCUGCUGUGAAACGCGAGGCUCAACCUCGCGCCUGCAGUGGGUACGGGCAGACUAGAGUGCGGUAGGGGAGAUUGGAAUUCCAGGUGUAGCGGUGAAAUGCGUAGAUAUCUGGAGGAACACCGGUGGCGAAGGCGGCAUCCUGGACCAUUACUGACGCUGAGGAGCGAAAGCCAGGGGAGCAAAGCGGG